rnacentral:lncRNA from 1 species
GAAGAAAUAAAUCUAUUGACAUAAUGUUUAGAUGCAAAAAAAGGUACCUCCAUGAAGCUAUCGUUUUCGUGCUUUCCUACGCCUAGACUCUGCUUUCUGCCAUUUCUUUCUCGGUACCACUUUGCUCUUUGGUUUCAGUUUCAUUUCAGGAGAGAACUCAUAGUUUGGAUCUCUCAUACGAGCUUGUAUAUCUUUGAAAAACUGCAUAUUCAAUUUCUUAGGUCCUCCCUGUCUCAGUU